GAUCCUGGCUCAGAACGAACGCUGGCGGCAUGCCUAACACAUGCAAGUCGAACGAGACCUUCGGGUCUAGUGGCGCACGGGUGCGUAACGCGUGGGAAUCUGCCCUUGGGUUCGGAAUAACUCGCCGAAAGGCGUGCUAAUACCGGAUGAUGUCGUAAGACCAAAGAUUUAUCGCCCAGGGAUGAGCCCGCGUAAGAUUAGGUAGUUGGUGAGGUAAAGGCUCACCAAGCCGACGAUCUUUAGCUGGUCUGAGAGGAUGAUCAGCCACACUGGGACUGAGACACGGCCCAGACUCCUACGGGAGGCAGCAGUGGGGAAUAUUGGACAAUGGGCGAAAGCCUGAUCCAGCAAUGCCGCGUGAGUGAUGAAGGCCUUAGGGUUGUAAAGCUCUUUUACCCGGGAUGAUAAUGACAGUACCGGGAGAAUAAGCUCCGGCUAACUCCGUGCCAGCAGCCGCGGUAAUACGGAGGGAGCUAGCGUUGUUCGGAAUUACUGGGCGUAAAGCGCACGUAGGCGGCUUUGUAAGUCAGAGGUGAAAGCCUGGAGCUCAACUCCAGAACUGCCUUUGAGACUGCAUCGCUUGAAUCCAGGAGAGGUGAGUGGAAUUCCG
rnacentral:rRNA from 1 species